AAAUUAAUUAAAUCAACUAGAAUUAUUUAAGAACAGUCAUCAUCAAAAAAUAAAUUCGCUUGCAUUUAGCUCGUAAUUUUAGAGCAUUGUUUUAUUUUUUAGUUCUUGAAUCACACGAGGAAGGAAAUCGUCUACAUCAUCUAGAUCGUUUUGCUCUAUAGCGAAAGGAAUGCAGAGGACACGCACCUUCACGGUCGAACGGGGAGGAGAGACACGCGUUUACAACCAAGGAGCAAUUCAACAUAAUGCGGCCGUAGUUGAGUACACACGGACCUGUACGGCCGUUUUUUCUGGUCUCUGCGCCGGAAUAUUAGGGCUGACGAGUUUGUACGGUUUUGGAUUCUAUUUCCUUGCGAUAUUUGGAAUGUGGCUUAUCCUCGUUGCAAAAGCAGGGGCGGACUAUCAGCGCUUUUUCACGUCUAGGAAAGCACUCCUCACGAACGGGUUCUUUGGUGCGCUCUUUACCUACAUCUUAUCGUGGACUUUUGCUUACGGAGUAGUUCAUGUAUACUGAAGAGUUACAUUGUAAUCCAUUUUGUAUAAUGUUUGAAAUAAUUUUUGUUUUUAUUGAAGUGUUUUAUAUGCAUAGCAUAGAAAUCUUUUUGCCAAAUGUUUGUUUUUGUAUAUCUCUGUUUCCAUUAUAUACACUGUAAGCAAUGAAUGAAUGAAGCCUGUCUCUACCAAAGAAUUAAUUAAAUAUCUAAUAUUAUUAUUCCAGUCGUUUUGUAUAAUAAAUCAUGUUUAAAUGAA